UGGAAGAGGAACUGUGCUAAGUAUUUAGCUGAACUGAAGCAAGCCAAGGCUUCAGGAGGAGAGUCCUCAGGGACUAAGAAAGAUUAAGAAGCUGAAACAAGGCGACUUGGAGGUCCAUGUUGGCAAUGGACAAAGAGUUGCUGUGAAGGCGAUUGGAGAAUAUGUUCUUUUACUUCCUUCUGGUUUAGAACUUGUUUUGAACAAUGUUUAUUUUAUUCCUAGUGUUACUAGAAAUAUUGUUUCGGUU